rnacentral:rRNA from 1 species
AUUGAACGCUGGCGGCAGGCCUAACACAUGCAAGUCGAACGAGUGGCGGACGGGUGAGUAAUGUCUGGGAAACUGCCUGAUGGAGGGGGAUAACUACUGGCAACGGUAGCUAAUACCGCAUAACAUCGUAUGUGCCCAGAUGGGAUUAGCUUGUUGGUGGGGUAACGUCUCACCUAGGCGACGAUCCCUCGCUGGUCUGAGAGGAUGACCAGCCACACUGGAAAUGAGACACGGUCCAGACUCCUACGGGAGGCAGCAGUGGGGAAUAUUGCACAAUGGGCGCAAGCCUGAUGAAGCCAUGCCGCGUGUAUGAAGAAGGCCUUCGGGUUGUAAAGUACUUUCAGCGGGGAGGCGUUACCCGCAGAAGAAGCACCGGCUAACUCCGUGCCAGCAGCCGCGGCAAUAC